rnacentral:rRNA from 1 species
UACGUAGGGUGCGAGCGUUAAUCGGAAUUACUGGGCGUAAAGCGUGCGCAGGCGGUUUUGUAAGCCAGAUGUGAAAUCCCCGGGCUUAACCUGGGAACUGCAUUUGUGACUGCAUGGCUGGAGUGUGGCAGAGGGGGAUGGAAUUCCGCGUGUAGCAGUGAAAUGCGUAGAUAUGCGGAGGAACACCGAUGGCGAAGGCAAUCCCCUGGGCCUGCACUGACGCUCAUGCACGAAAGCGUGGGGAGCAAACAGG